rnacentral:rRNA from 1 species
AUUGAACGCUGGCGGCAUGCCUUACACAUGCAAGUCGAACGGCAGCACGGGUGCUUGCACCUGGUGGCGAGUGGCGAACGGGUGAGUAAUACAUCGGAACGUACCUUAUCGUGGGGGAUAACGCAGCGAAAGUUGCGCUAAUACCGCAUACGCCCUGAGGGGGAAAGCGGGGGACCGUAAGGCCUCGCGCGAUUAGAGCGGCCGAGGUCUGAUUAGCUUGUUGGUGAGGUAAAAGCGCACCAAGGCGAUGAUCAGUAGCUGGUCUGAGAGGACGAUCAGCCACACUGGGACUGAGACACGGCCCAGACUCCUACGGGAGGCAGCAGUGGGGAAUUUUGGACAAUGGGGGCAACCCUGAUCCAGCAAUGCCGCGUGAGUGAAGAAGGCCUUCGGGUUGUAAAGCUCUUUUGUCAGGGAAGAAACAGCAGCUCUAACACAGUCUGCGAAUGACGGUACCUGAAGAAUAAGCACCGGCUAACUACGUGCCAGCAGCCGCGGUAA